ensembl:lncRNA
CACAAUGUUGGUCUGAGUCUAAACAUGAUGAUAAGCAGAGACGUCUGAUGUCUACAGUCGUCUGCUGGAUGUUCAGGAUAGUUCAUUUCCAUCUGUCCUCAGAUCGUCUGACUCACAGUUCAGAUGUUAAGAAUUAGGAGGCAGGACACUGAUUUGAACGUUGAGAUGGUUUAUGUUUUCUGUAGAUCAAAAAACAACUGCAGCAGGAGACUCAGAGUUCAGCUGUAAAAAACUAUGAGAUAUUUCAAACAUGGUACUAACAAACAGGAAGCUGGUAUGGUCUCUGGCCCUGUUUGCAAUGUCUUGUGUAGAUAAAAAAAACAGCAGCAACAAGAAUUACAGCAGAAACACUCAGACCAACUAUCGUUCCAACAGAUCCAUCCUUCUCUUGUCCUCCUGUCUGACCUGCAGGUGAGAAACAGGUGUGAGGUGUCAGCUGUCAGGUAGGUGAUGAGUGAAGAACAGAACAGAAUCCAUUUCCUCUUCUAAUGCAGUAGAUUAGCACUUUAAUAAAAAAAUCCAUAUGAUCUGACCAAAACUGUUAAAAACUGUUGUAAUAAACGAAAACCUAGCCAGGUUAUAAAGGACCAAAGGACGGCUGGAGCCUUGCUCAGCUACUGCAGGGUGAGAGGCAGGGUACACCCUGGACAGGUUGCCUGUCUCUCGCAGGGCUAACACAGAGAGACAGGCAACCACUCACACUCACAGGAAAUUUAGAAUGACCAGUUAACUUAACCCCACUAACUGCAUAUCUUUGGACUGUGGGAGGAAGCCAGAGCUGAACAAAAACACCCUGAUAACAGACUGUGCAUAGACUGUUUCUUCCUAUUCUAUGCAAGGCCACCUGGGUUGGCUGGAAGACUGUUUACUUAGCCUGGCAGGGCGAAGGACACUGUGUCAGCUGAACUCUGGACACACACACACAUACACUGAUACACACUCAUCCCCCCUCCCUUUCCAAACACCUUCGAUGCUUGUGCCCUACCGGGGCAGAUGGCGGGUUGACUGGACCAGCGCAGACAUGCUGCAGGACCGGAUGCGCUGUCUACACCGGCUCUCUCUUACCCUUACCCGCCCCUGUUGCUUGUCUUGUGUUUCUAUGGUGUAUUGACAGUCAUGUGCUUUUUGUGCUGGGGUGUUUUUACUGUUCUCAAACUGUUCUCUCAUUACGAGCUCAGUCUGAGUGGAGUUUUUUCUCCUCCUCUCACCUCAUGUUAUGUAUUUUCAUUGGUUUUUUUCCAAUCAGCCUACCUCUCUGACAUGUCUUCCCAAUGUGAUGUUUGUGUAAAGUUCGGUCAGAAGGUUCCUUUGUGCCAUUAGCGUGCUGCCUGCUGUAACCCUAAUUUCCUUCAGGAUUAAUAAAGUAUUAUGAUUCUGAUUCUAGGCCUGAUGGUGGAAUUGUACCCAAGACCUUCUUCCUGUGAGCCAGCAGUGCUAACUAUGAUGCAACCAUGCUAAUUAUUAAGAAUCACAUUUGUUUUUCAAAGUACCAGAAAAUUAUAACUUAGACAUUCCAGGGUUUAGGGUUUAUGUAUUUAUGACUUUUACUCAUUUGACUUAACUGGAAGGGGAAAAGACAGAAGAUGGAGUUUCACAAAGCCAAAAAAAA